rnacentral:misc_RNA from 1 species
UUGAUUUUAGUUAUUUGUGAACGUACUACGAACAAACAAAAAAUUUUAUAGUCAAAAAAAAAUUAAAUCA